rfam:Picea glauca, whole genome shotgun sequence.
AGGGUUCUAGCUCAAUGGAAGAGCACAUGCCUUACAAGCAGGAGGUUGGUGGUUCAAUUCCACCAUACUCUA